AUUCUAGAGAGAGAGUAUUGAAUAAAGCAAGAGAGAGACAGAGAGAGAAAUGAAAGUUUUUACAGUGCCCAAGACAGCAGGUUUGCAGUGCCACCAAAAAUUGUGGUUCCAAGUUUUUACACACCCCACCCCACCCCACCCCCCAACCACAUUGCCUCAUCUUCUCCAACCCCAAUCUUUGACCAGACUCUGCAGAAACGAAACUGCCCUGAACUCCCGCCAGCUUAAGUAGAGAGAGAGAGGGAGGGGAAAAUGCCUAAAUAAUUGGAAGAGAGAGAGAGAGAGGGAAAAUUGAAAAAACAUACCAAAAUCCAACUCAACACACACACAUACCCCCAUAAAAAAGAUUGCUAGUACUUAUCCACACAUACUAUUAUGCACCAACUCAUGAAAUCUUUAGAUUGUUAAUAAUUCCAUAAGAUGAUUAAAAUCCUCGUAGAUUCCAUACCAUGCCAUGACUCUCUGCUCUCUCUCACUCUCACUCUCUCUCCAUACAAAGGUUUUUAGUCUUGUCCUUAAAACCCUACUCUCUCUUUCUCUCAUUUACUAGUAAUUGAAAACACUCAGUCUCUCAUCCAUGGAUAAAUCCGAGGCUACCAACAUCGUGAUGUCGAGGAUCCAAGCUUUGGAUCCGGAAAACGCUUCCAAAAUCAUGGGUUACAUUCUGAUUCAAGACUUGGGCGAGAAGGAGAUGAUAAGGCUGGCUUUCAGCCCCGACGCUCUGCUGCUCUACCAAGCGAAGGCUGCUCUCGCUUCUCCAUACCCUUUCCACUCCAAUUCGCCCAGGAUCAUGAUUCCCACCAACAAUGCCUUCAAUUUCACCGGCCCCUCCUCGCCUUUCCAGAGGUCCACGCCCCGCCCCAUUUACGCCGCCGGAAAUGACGACUCCUUUCUCGACGACCCCAUUAUCAGCCCCAGCGGGAGGAGCGAUUCUCUCGUCUUUCCUUACGCCGACGACGUCAACAGCCCCCACGCCUUCCACCGCCGGAGUUGCUCCGUCAAUGACGCCGCGUUUUUGGCUAAUCUCGAGGAUGGGGGAGGCGGGAAUGGAAAUGGCUUUCUCUGGCGCCCUUGCAUGUACUUCGCUAGAGGGUUUUGCAAGAAUGGGGGUAGUUGUAAGUUCCUUCACGCCGAUAACGCUUCCGUUGAGGCCGCCGAUGUCGGCUCUCCGGGCGGCGGAUUUGACGAGAUGAUGAAGAUGAAGGCCUUCCAGCAGCAGAGGCUGGCCGCCAUGGCUUCUGGGGCUCACAACCUCUUUGCUUACAAUAAGUGCAUGGAUGAGAAUCUUAGGGGUGACUUGUCACCGAUGGGAUUGGGUUCUGCCGCGAGCUCAAGUGCUCGACAAAUAUACUUGACAUUCCCGGCUGACAGCACGUUCAAGGAAGAGGAUGUUUCCAACUACUUUAGCAUGUUUGGGCCGGUGCAAGAUGUUAGGAUUCCCUACCAGCAGAAGCGGAUGUUUGGGUUUGUGACGUUUGUCUACCCGGAGACUGUCAAGCUUAUCUUGGCAAAAGGGAAUCCUCAUUUUGUGUGUGAUUCUAGAGUGCUUGUCAAGCCUUACAAAGAGAAAGGAAAAGUCCGAGAAAAGAAGCAUCAGCAGCAACAGUUGGAGAGAGGGGAGUAUUCGUCUUGUUUAAGCCCUUCGGGAAUUGAUUCUAGGGAGCAUUUCGAUCACCCCUUUGGACCUAGACUGAUGUUCAGUCCACAGGAGAUGAUUCUGAGAAAGAAGUUGGAACACGAAGCGGAAUUGCAGCACGCCAUUGAACUUGAAGGUCAAAGGAUGCUGAGGUUGCAGCUGAGGGACCUAAAAGCUCAGAACCAUAAUAAUCACUAUAUGCAAAUGUUUCCUUCCGGCGUCCCAUAUUCCUCGCCAAGAACAUCUCAAUUGCUUAUGAAUCAGCAUGUCACUGCUUCGUCUCAUGCAAUCAAUGAAGAUGAUCCAGAAGAGUCCAAUGAUGCAGCUGCUGAUGAGAAGUUUGUGUUUGAAGGAGCUGAAUCUUCGUUUAAUAACAAUGAUUCUGAUCUCCAUCAAAGCAUGGAGCACGUUCUUCCAGAUAAUCUGUUCGCUUCUCCUACAAAAUCAGCUUCUGAAAACCAGGCUCCUGCUGAAGGUGACGAUGGCCGGCCUGCAUCAUCCAUCGAUACUACUUUGCUGCCUGGUGGUUCUCCCCUCACCAUGGCUUCUCUCAAAUCGUGUUACUUACAAAUGCCUAGGUUUUCCUCCGGGCAAGAAGCCAUUGAAAUGUAGCUGUUAGAAGGUGGUGAUGGUUAGGAAGCAGGAAUUAGCUUAGCUUGCAAGUUUGUGUAGCAUAUACAAGGAAGUAGAAGAAAGUUGAAUAGCUGUAUGGCCAAAAGCAAUACCCACACAGCAGGAAAAAAAAAAGAAAAAAAAGAAAGAAAGGAUCUUUAAGAGAAGCUUUCCAUCAAGAUUGUUGCCAUGAUCUCAUCAAUACCAUACUACUACUACUACUUACAAGAUAUACAAUGCAUGGGUAAAAGGACAGAUGAACUGAUUAAUUUCAAAUCUGCAGGAAAAAGUGAGGAAAGAGAAAGGGUUUUGCAGGAUAUUUGCAUCCAAUGCAAAAAAAAUAGGAGGCGUUUGAGAAUAUUCCGUAAAUUUAAGUGAAGUUUGGAAAAAGGGAUUUUUACUGUUACUCUUUUUAGAUCCAAUUAAAUUGCUAGUGAUGAUGUGCAUCCUUUUAACAUUGCUUGAAUCAUUAUUUUCCUAAAGAAAGCAGGAAAAAGUUUCUGAAUCAUGUAACAUAAAUAAAUGGUACCUUACUAAAGGGCAAAAAAUAAUGAGGAGAAAAUGGAGAAAAAAGUGAAUUCUUUUGUGGCAUAAUUAAAGGGCUGCCUGUAGGCCUUUAGAGUACUCUUUUGUCUCAUUUUGUAGUUUCUUUCAAGUGGGCAAAGGGCCUAAGACACAUGGGUAUUUCUUUUUUAUUUUUUCUAAAAUUAGUAUUCAUAUUUAUUUAUUUAUGCAAAUUAAAUGAGAUGUCA